rnacentral:rRNA from 1 species
CUUAACACAUGCAAGUCGAACGCAUCCUUCGGGAUGAGUGGCAGACGGGUGAGUAACGCGUGGGAACGUGCCUUUCGGUUCGGAAUAACUCAGGGAAACUUGGGCUAAUACCGAAUACGCCCUUCGGGGGAAAGAUUUAUCGCCGAUAGAUCGGCCCGCGUCAGAUUAGCUUGUUGGUGAGGUAAAGGCUCACCAAGGCGACGAUCUGUAGCUGGUCUGAGAGGAUGAUCAGCCACACUGGGACUGAGACACGGCCCAGACUCCGUACGGGAGGCAGCAGGUGGGGAAUAUUGGACAAUGGGCGCAAGCCUGAUCCAGCCAUGCCGCGUGGGUGAAGAACGGCCCUAGGGUUACGUUAAACCCCUUUCAGGCGGGGAAGAUAAUGACGGUACCCGCAGAAGAACGCCCCGGCUAACUCCGUG